rnacentral:tRNA from 1 species
GGAUUGUGGCUCAGUGGUAGAGCACUUGCCUAGCACGGGUGGGGCCUGAGUUUGAUCCUCAGCACCA